GAUGAACGCUGGCGGCGUGCCUAAUACAUGCAAGUCGAGCGAACAGACGAGGAGCUUGCUCCUCUGACGUUAGCGGCGGACGGGUGAGUAACACGUGGAUAACCUACCUAUAAGACUGGGAUAACUUCGGGAAACCGGAGCUAAUACCGGAUAAUAUAUUGAACCGCAUGGUUCAAUAGUGAAAGACGGUUUUGCUGUCACUUAUAGAUGGAUCCGCGCCGCAUUAGCUAGUUGGUAAGGUAACGGCUUACCAAGGCGACGAUGCGUAGCCGACCUGAGAGGGUGAUCGGCCACACUGGAACUGAGACACGGUCCAGACUCCUACGGGAGGCAGACGUAGGGAAUCUUCCGCAAUGGGCGAAAGCCUGACGGAGCAACGCCGCGGGAGUGAUGAAGGUCUUCGGAUCGUAAAACUCUGUUAUUAGGGAAGAACAAAAGUGUAAGUAACUAUGCACGUCUUGGCGGGACCUAAUCAAAAAGCCACGGCUAACUACGGG
rnacentral:rRNA from 1 species